rnacentral:lncRNA from 1 species
AGCGCUCACUCCAGGCCGCAGACUCCGACCGGAACUGACAGCGCGGCCUCCAGGAUUGAAACUAUCCCUGGCUUGAAGUAGCCUAAGGAGAUUUGCUAGUUGGAGUCCUGGGAGAUGAGAUGGGGAAGAUGGGCUCAAGCUGCAACAUGAAGGUCCAUGAUGAGCAGCUGGCAUCUCCUACAGUGCCUUCCACUUGCAAAGCUGCAGAUCCCUAAGGCCAAGGCUGAUGAAAGAUGUGGGUAGCUGAUUCUGUCCUGUGACCUGGAGGCUCUGAAUUUGUGAUUGAAGAGAUCCUGCACAGUCCUCUCCCCCUGUCAUAUCAGGCAUCUGCAAGGCAUUCUAAGGACCUCUAGGAGCACACAGUUCAAUCCAGCAACCUCUACUAAGGGUCACAAAUGCCUACGUCCAAGUCUAUGCUGGCCCCGUCAAAGUCCCGUCUCUGCUGUGCCCCCAGGGUCUUACGGGCUACAUAUGGGACAACUUUUUAAAUACUCGCACAUGUUGUGGUCAUUGUAAGUCCAAGUCACAAAAACAGCAGAAGUAGAAAGUUUUACCUUAGAG